AUGGGGCUGCAGGGGGCAAGGUUAUGGGGCUGGGGGCUAGGGCUGCUGGGGGCAAGGGAUAUGGGGCUGCAGGGGGCAAAGGGAUGGGGCUGCAGGGAAAUAGGAUAUGGGGCUGCAGGGGGCAAAGUUGUAGGGCUGCAGUCCCCGUCCCCCCCCCCUGCGCCCUCCCCCGUGCCGCGGGCCCGAUGCUGUCAUGGAAAAUCCCCGCAGCGGCCAAGGGCCGUGUUUGCGCUGACCCAAAACUGGCAAUUUUUCACUCAAUUCUGGGGCUCCGCCAGGCCUGUUCCCGGUUUCCAACACCCCCCCCCCAAAAAAAGUUCUCCCAUUCUCCCUGCCAUGGGGCUGGGUGCUGGUGGCCCCCCAGAGGGAAGGGGUCUCAGGGGGGGGGAUAAAAACCGUGCUCUAGAACCUGGCACCGUGCACAAGUACCCAGAUUGUGCACCGGCACCCAGCUCUUUGCACGAGUGCACAGCACCUUGCACAAGCACCCAGCACCGUGCACCAGUGCCUAGCACCAUGCACCAGCACCCAGCACCUUGCACAAGCACCCAGCACCAUGCACAAGCACCCAGCACCGUGCACCAGCACCCAGCACCAUGCACCAGUGCCCAGCACCUUGCACAAGCACCCAGCACUGUGCACAAGCACCCAGCACCUUGCACAAGCACCCAGCACCAUGCACCAAUGCAUAGCACCAUGCAUUUGCACCCAGCACCGUGCACAAACAUCGUGCACCAGCACCCAGCACCCUGCACAAUCAUCCAGUACCAUGCACUAGCACCGUGCACAAGCACCCAGCACCAUGCACAAGCCUGCAGCACGGUGCACCAGCACCAUGCAGAAGCACCAGCACCAUGCAGCAGCACCCAGCAGCGUGCACUGAUGCCCAAAUUGUGCACCAGCACCAUGCAACAGUGCCCGGCACCGUGCACAAGCACCCAGCACUGUGCACCAGUGCCUAGCACCAUGCACCAGCACCGUGCACAAGCACCCAGUGCUCUGCACAAGCAUCCAGCACCAUGCACCAGUGCCCAGCACUGUGCACAAACACCCAGCACUGUGCAGCAGGGCAUAGCAUCAUGCACCUGCACCUAG
rnacentral:lncRNA from 1 species